UCUGAACUAGGGAGUAGAUUAUCUUCUGAAACUCCCUAGUUCAGAAGAUAAUCUACUCCCUAGUUCAGA
rnacentral:pre_miRNA from 1 species